AUGUUGCAGGAGGAUGGGGGUAUUGAUGAAGAUGUGAACCAUCGAAUCAAAGCCGGAUGGAUGAAGUGGCGCCAAGCUUCUGGCAUUCUCUAUGACAAGAGAGUGCCACAAAAGCUAAAAGGCAAGUUCUACAGGACGGCGGUUCGACCCGCAAUGUUGUAUGGCGCGGAGUGUUGGCCGACUAAAAGGCGACAUGUUCAACAGUUAGGUGUGGCGGAGAUGCGUAUGUUGAGAUGGAUGUGUGGCUACACGAGGAAGGAUCGAGUCCGGAAUGAUGAUAUACGAGAUAGAGUUGGGGUAGCACCAAUUGAGGAGAAGCUUGUCCAACAUCGUUUGAGAUGGUUUGGGCAUAUUCAGCGCAGGCCUCCAGAAGCUCCAGUGCAUAGCGGACGGCUAAAGCGUGCGGAGAAUGUCAAGAGAGGGCGGGGUCGACCGAUUUUGACAUGGGAGGAGUCUGUUAAGAGAGACCUGAAGGAUUGGAGUAUC
rnacentral:rRNA from 1 species